rnacentral:rRNA from 1 species
GACGAACGCUGGCGGCGUGCUUAACACAUGCAAGUCGAACGGAAAGGCCCUGCUUUUGUUGGGUGCUCGAGUGGCGAACGGGUGUGUAACAUGUGAGUAACCUGCCCUUGACUUUGGGAUAACUUCAGGAAACUGGGGCUAAUACCGGAUAGGUGCUCCUGCUGCAUGGUGGGGGUUGGAAAGUUUCGGCGGUUGGGGAUGGACUCGCGGCUUAUCAGCUUGUUGGUGGGGUAGUGGCUUACCAAGGCUUUGACGGGUAGCCGGCCUGAGAGGGUGACCGGGCACAUUGGGACUGAGAGAGGGCCCAGACUGCUACGGGAGGCAGCAGUGGGGAAUAUUGCACAAUGGGCGGAAGCCUGAUGCAGCAACGCCGCGGGCGGGAUGAAGGCCUUCGGGUUGUAAACCGCUUUCGCCUGUGACGAAGCGUGAGUGACGGUAAUGGGUAAAGAAGCACCGGCUAACUACGUG